GAUGAACGCUGGCGGCGUGCCUAAUACAUGCAAGUCGAGCGAACAGAUAAGGAGCUUGCUCCUUUGACGUUAGCGGCGGACGGGUGAGUAACACGUGGGUAACCUAUCUAUAAGACUGGAAUAACUCCGGGAAACCGGGGCUAAUGCCGGAUAACAUGUUGAACCGCAUGGUUCUACAGUGAAAGGCGGCUUUGCUGUCACUUAUAGAUGGACCCGCGCCGUAUUAGCUAGUUGGUGAGGUAACGGCUCACCAAGGCAACGAUACGUAGCCGACCUGAGAGGGUGAUCGGCCACACUCGAACUGAGACACGGUCCAGACUCCUACGGGAGGCAGCAGUAGGGAAUCUUCCGCAAUGGGCGAAAGCCUGACGGAGCAACGCCGCGUGAGUGAUGAAGGUCUUCGGAUCGUAAAACUCUGUUAUUAGGGAAGAACAAAUGCGUAAGUAACUGUGCGCGUCUUGACGGUACCUAAUCAGAAAGCCACGGCUAACUACGUG
rnacentral:rRNA from 1 species